AUCCGUUGUUUUAGCCGCUGC
rnacentral:miRNA from 1 species